GGCUGAGAGUAAGAUCAAACAGAAAAAUUUGUUUUUGUUUUAUUUCAAAUAGAAAAAAAUUGCUUCCAUUCAAUGUGACACUUCCUCAUCAGGUUCAUCAAGUUCUAAUGCCGGUGUGAGCUUGCUAGCAUUGACAAUUCAGGUGUAUCAGAUUUGUACUCCAAAAGUUCAACGGAUACUGAAUCCUACUUAUCAUCUGACAUUGAGUCAGACUAAAAC